rfam:Capronia epimyces CBS 606.96 aczIQ-supercont1.1, whole genome shotgun sequence.
GCCCAGUGCUCUGAAUGUCAAAGCGAAGUAAUUCGAACAAGCGCGGGUAAACGGC